UGCAAGUCGAACGGUGAAGCCCAGCUUGCUGGGUGGAUCAGUGGCGAACGGGUGAGUAACACGUGAGCAACCUGCCCCUGACUCUGGGAUAAGCGCUGGAAACGGCGUCUAAUACUGGAUACGAGAUGUGACCGCAUGGUCAAUGUCUGGAAAGAUUUUUCGGUUGGGGAUGGGCUCGCGGCCUAUCAGCUUGUUGGUGAGGUAAUGGCUCACCAAGGCGUCGACGGGUAGCCGGCCUGAGAGGGUGACCGGCCACACUGGGACUGAGACACGGCCCAGACUCCUACGGGAGGCAGCAGUGGGGAAUAUUGCACAAUGGGCGAAAGCCUGAUGCAGCAACGCCGCGUGAGGGACGACGGCCUUCGGGUUGUAAACCUCUUUUAGCAGGGAAGAAGCGAAAGUGACGGUACCUGCAGAAAAAGCGCCGGCUAACUACGUGCCAGCAGCCGCGGUAAUACGUAGGGCGCAAGCGUUAUCCGGAAUUAUUGGGCGUAAAGAGCUCGUAGGCGGUUUGUCGCGUCUGCUGUGAAAUCCGGAGGCUCAACCUCCGGCCUGCAGUGGGUACGGGCAGACUAGAGUGCGGUAGGGGAGAUUGGAAUUCCUGGUGUAGCGGUGGAAUGCGCAGAUAUCAGGAGGAACACCGAUGGCGAAGGCAGAUCUCUGGGCCGUAACUGACGCUGAGGAGCGAAAGGGUGGGGAGCAAACAGGCUUAGAUACCCUGGUAGUCCACCCCGUAAACGUUGGGAACUAGUUGUGGGGUCCAUUCCACGGAUUCCGUGACGCAGCUAACGCAUUAAGUUCCCCGCCUGGGGAGUACGGCCGCAAGGCUAAAACUCAAAGGAAUUGACGGGGACCCGCACAAGCGGCGGAGCAUGCGGAUUAAUUCGAUGCAACGCGAAGAACCUUACCAAGGCUUGACAUAUACGAGAACGGGCCAGAAAUGGUCAACUCUUUGGACACUCGUAAACAGGUGGUGCAUGGUUGUCGUCAGCUCGUGUCGUG
rnacentral:rRNA from 1 species